CCCACCUUGGGACACACCCGGAAGCGGCGGCGGCGCCCCUCGGGGAAGAUGGCGCCCUCGGGGCUGAAGGCGGUGGUGGGGGAAAAAAUUCUGAGUGGAGUUAUUCGGAGUGUCAAGAAGGAUGGGGAGUGGAAGGUGCUUAUCAUGGAUCACCCGAGCAUGCGCAUCUUGUCUUCCUGCUGCAAAAUGUCAGACAUCCUGGCUGAAGGCAUCACCAUUGUUGAAGACAUCAACAAACGGCGAGAACCCAUUCCCAGCCUGGAGGCCAUUUAUUUGCUGAGCCCAACGGAGAAGUCGGUUCAGGCCCUGAUCGCAGACUUCCGGGGGACCCCGACCUUCACCUACAAAGCGGCCCAUAUCUUCUUCACCGACACCUGCCCCGAGCCCCUGUUCAGUGAGCUGGGCCGCUCUCGUCUGGCAAAGGUGGUGAAGACGUUGAAGGAGAUUCACAUUGCCUUCCUCCCGUACGAGGCCCAGGUGUUCUCCCUCGAUGCUCCCCAUAGCACCUACAAUCUCUACUGCCCCUUCCGGGCAGGGGAGCGCGUGAGGCAGCUCGAGGUGCUGGCCCAGCAGAUUGCCACACUGUGCGCCACGCUGCAGGAGUACCCGGCCAUCCGCUACCGCAAGGGCCCAGAGGACACAGCCCAGUUGGCCCAUGCCGUCCUGGCCAAGCUGAACGCCUUGAAGGCAGACACUCCCAGUCUGGGCGAGGGCCCAGAGAAAACCCGCUCCCAGCUGCUGAUCAUGGACCGGGCGGCGGACCCCGUGUCCCCACUACUGCAUGAGCUCACGUUCCAGGCCAUGGCCUAUGAUCUGCUGGACAUAGAGCAGGACACAUACAGAUAUGAGACCACCGGGCUGAGCGAGGCGCGGGAGAAGGCCGUCCUGCUGGACGAAGACGAUGACCUGUGGGUGGAGCUUCGCCACAUGCACAUCGCAGACGUGUCCAAGAAGGUCACGGAGCUCCUGAGGACCUUCUGUGAGAGCAAGAGGCUGACCACGGACAAGGCCAACAUCAAAGACCUGUCCCAGAUCCUGAAAAAGAUGCCGCAGUACCAGAAGGAGCUGAAUAAGUAUUCUACGCACUUGCAUCUAGCAGAUGAUUGCAUGAAGCACUUCAAGGGCUCGGUGGAGAAGCUGUGUAGUGUGGAGCAGGACCUGGCCAUGGGCUCCGACGCGGAGGGGGAGAAGAUCAAGGACUCCAUGAAGCUGAUCGUGCCGGUGCUGCUGGACGCGGCGGUGCCUGCCUACGACAAGAUCCGGGUCCUGCUGCUCUACAUCCUCCUUCGCAAUGGUGUGAGUGAGGAGAACCUGGCCAAGCUGAUCCAGCAUGCCAAUGUACAGGCGCACAGCAGCCUCAUCCGCAACCUGGAGCAGCUGGGAGGCACUGUCACCAACUCCGGGCCACACCAGGCCCAGCCCCUCUGCAGGGCUCGGGGACCUCCAGCCUCCUUCCCCUCAAUCCUCCUGCGGCCCUCCCUGCCCCACCUGUAGGGCUCGGGGACCUCCAGCCGGCUGGAGCCGAGAGAGCGCAUGGAGCCCACCUAUCAGCUGUCCCGCUGGACCCCGGUCAUCAAGGACGUAAUGGAGGACGCCGUGGAGGACCGGCUGGACAGGAACGUGUGGCCCUUUGUAUCCGCCCCCGCCCCCACGGCCAGCUCCCAGGCCGCCGUCAGUGCCCGCUUCGGUCACUGGCACAAGAACAAGGCCGGCGUAGAGGCCCGGGCGGGCCCCCGACUCAUCGUGUACGUCAUGGGCGGUGUGGCCAUGUCAGAGAUGAGGGCCGCCUAUGAGGUGACCAGGGCCACCGAGGGCAAGUGGGAGGUGCUCAUUGGCUCUUCACACAUCCUCACCCCGACCCGCUUCCUGGAUGACCUGAAGACGCUGGACCAGAAGCUGGAGGACAUUGCCCUGCCCUGACCCCUGGACCUGCCCCCUACCCC